UUAAUUGUUCUUGCAUGAAUUUUAUUUUAGGUGGUUGCCUUUUCUGGUUGGCUUGGCUGUUUUGGGGUCUUGCAGACUGCGAGCUGCAGUAACAGCUCUACCACCUCUCAUCAUGGCCAGCCCCACGGAUAAUAACGAGGGCUUCUUCUCAGAUGUCAGAAAGGUGGGUUACCUGCGCAAACCCAAGAGCAUGCAUAAACGAUUUUUCGUGCUGAGGGCAGCCAGUGAGUCUGGACCCGCCCGGCUGGAGUAUUACGAGAAUGAGAAGAAAUGGAGACACAAGUCAGGGGCCCCCAAGCGCUCCAUCCCACUAGAAAGCUGCUUCAACAUCAACAAACGGGCUGACUCCAAGAACAAGCACCUGGUGGCCCUCUACACCAAGGACGAGCACUUUGCCAUUGCAGCUGACAGCGAACCUGAGCAGGAGAGCUGGUACCAAGCGCUGCUGCAGUUGCACAACAGGGCCAAGGGCCACCACCACCUCCACCACCAUCACCACCACCACCACAGCGAUGUCACUUUUGGAGGCAGCAGCACAGGACUGGGGGAAGCAGGUGAGGACAGCUAUGGUGAGGUAGCCCCUGGUCCAGCUUUUAAGGAAGUUUGGCAAGUAAUUCUGAAGCCUAAGGGCCUAGGCCAGACAAAGAACCUGAUUGGCAUCUACCGCCUGUGCCUGACUAACAAGACCAUCAGCUUUGUAAAGCUGAAUUCAGAUGCGGCUGCUGUGGUGCUGCAGCUGCUCAAUAUCCGCCGCUGUGGUCACUCUGAGAACUUCUUCUUCAUUGAGGUGGGACGCUCAGCUGUCACCGGGCCUGGUGAGUUCUGGAUGCAGGUGGAUGACUCAGUGGUGGCACAGAACAUGCAUGAAACUAUCCUGGAGGCCAUGCGAGCCAUGAGUGAGGAAUUCCGGCCCCGCAGCAAGAGCCAGUCCUCCUCAAACUGUUCCAACCCGAUCUCUGUGCCCCUUCGCAGGCACCACGUCAACAACCCUCCACCGAGCCAAGUGGGGCUCAGUCGGCGGUCCAGGACUGAGAGCGUCACGGCCACUUCUCCUGCCGGUGGUGGAGGUACAGGUGGCAAACCCAGCUCUUUCCGGGUUCGAGCAUCGAGUGAUGGGGAAGGCACAAUGUCAAGACCUGCCUCUGUGGAUGGUAGCCCAGUUAGUCCCAGUGCUAACCGGACUCAUUCACACAGACACCGUGGCAACUCCAGGCUCCAUCCUCCACUCAACCACAGCCGCUCCAUCCCGAUGCCUUCCUCGCGCUGCUCUCCUUCAGCCACCAGUCCAGUCAGUCUGUCAUCCAGCAGCACUAGUGGCCACGGCUCCACAUCAGACUGCCUGUUUCCACGAAGGUCUAGUGCUUCAGUUUCUGGCUCCCCUAGUGAUGGUGGAUUUAUUUCUUCUGAUGAGUAUGGUUCAAGCCCAUGUGACUUUCGCAGCUCUUUUCGCAGUGUAACGCCUGAUUCAUUGGGGCACACACCCCCUGCCCGGGGUGAUGAAGACCUCAACUACAUCUGCAUGGGAGGGAAGGCCACCUCUUCUUGCUGCAGCCUGGCAGCACCCAAUGGCCAUUUCAUCCCACGCACCUGCCACCCUCAGCAGCAGCAGCCCCGCUAUCCUGGUACACCCUGCUGUCCUCGAGGUGGUAGUGAGGAGGUUGCGGACUUGGAGAAGGCAUUCAGAAAGAGGACUCACUCUGCAGGCACUUCGCCCACCAUCUCCCACCAGAAGACACCCUCACAGUCUUCGGUAGCCUCCAUCGAGGAGUACACGGAGAUGCUGCCUUCUUACUCCUGUGGCAGCAGCAGGCUGCCCUCCUACCGCCACUCAGCCUUCGUGCCCACUCACUCCUAUCCAGAGGAGUGCCUGGAGAUGCACCACAUGGACAGCGGCCGUCAUCGGACCAACUCUGCCCCGCACACGGAUGAUGGCUACAUGCCCAUGUCACCUGGCGUAGCCCCUGUGCCCAGUGGUGGGGGGCCCCCCAAGGGUGGUGACUAUAUGCCCAUGAGUCCUAAGAGUGUGUCGGCCCCACAGCAGAUCAUCAACCCUGGCAGGGGUGGCCGCCACCCUCCAGCCACAGUGGACUCUAAUGGCUACAUGAUGAUGUCUCCCAGUGGCAGCUACUCCCCCGACAGCAGCUCCGCGGGCUACGGCAAGAUCUGGACAAACGGUGCCGGCCACCACCCAAAACUCUCAGUGGAGAGCAACGAAGGGAAGCUCCCCUGCGGCGGCAGCGACUAUAUCAACAUGUCCCCGGCCAGCGGCUCCACCACCAGCACUCCGCCCGACUGCUACUUCGGGGCCGCGGGGCAGCCGGGGGUCGAGGAGGCGGCCGCCGUAGCGCACCACAAACCCAUCUACUCCUACUUCUCGCUGCCACGCUCCUUCAAACACGUGCACCGGCGGGGCGGCGGCAGGCCGGGUGGGACAGCCGAGGAGGGCAGCCCUCAGCCCCGCAUCGCGCUCGGCUCCAGCCGCCUCCUUUACGCGGCCGAGGACUCGUCCUCCUCCACCAGCAGCGACAGCCUGGGCGGCGGCGGCGGUCCCGAGGGCGGCCCCCCUCCUCAAGCGCAGCCCCCACGCAAGGUGGACACGGCCGUGCAGACCAAGGGCCGCCUGGCGCGCCCCACGCGGCUGUCGCUGGGCGGCCCCAAGGCCAGCACCCUGCCGCGGGCCCGGGAGCAGCCCCCGGUGCUGCUGCCCCCCGAGCCCAAGAGCCCCGGCGAGUACGUGAACAUCGAGUUCAUCGCCGGCGAGAAGCCUCCCUUCCCCUCGGCCGCCCUGAGCGCGGCCCCGCCGCCCCCGGGCAGCGAGGCCGCCGAGGAGUACAUGAACAUGGAGCCGGGCCCGCCGCGGGCCCCCUGCCCGCCCGGCUUCGCCGCCGCGCGGGCCGCCCGCUUCGGCCGGGACUACGUGGCGAUGCAGCGGGGGGGCGCCGCGGUCGGCGGGGGCUCCUGCUCGGACUACGCGGACGGCCCGUCCCCCGGCUCGCCCGCCCGCCUGCUCGGCUACGCCGAGGUGCGGGGGGGCCGCGCCGGCCCCGAAAAGCCCCCGCCGGCCGCCGCCACCGCCGCGUCCCCGGAGCUGCCGCGGCCGCCGGCCGAGCUGUCGGCGGCGCCGCCGCGCUCCUCCUCCCUGCUGGGGGGCCUGGGCGCGGGCAGCGCCUUCACCCGAGUCAGCCUCAGCCCCGGCCGCAACCAGAGCGCCAAGGUGAUCCGCGCCGACCCGCAGGGCGGCCGGCGGCGGCACAGCUCCGAGACCUUCUCCUCCACGCCGAGCGCGGCCCGCGGAGCGGCGGGCGGGCUCGGGGCACCCCUCCCGUACAGCGGCGCGGGCGGCGCCGAGGAGGUGAAGCGGCACAGCUCGGCCUCCUUCGAGAACGUGUGGCUGCGGCCCGGCGCGGGGGAGGCGGCCGCCCGCCGGGAGCCGGGGGCCGCGCCCGCCCUGGAGAACGGGCUCAACUACAUCGACCUGGACUUGGUGAGGGACUGCGGCCACCGCCGCCACCACCACCCGCACGCCCCCGCCGAGGCGAAGCAGCCGCUGCCGCCGAAGCCCCCGGGCCAGCAGCGCGGGAGCGGCCACUGCGGCGAGGAUCUGAGCGCGUACGCCAGCAUCAGCUUCCAGAAGCGGGAGGAGAUGUAGGAGCCGGGCGCCCGCCGGGGAAGAACAAUCUUCCACCCCAUCCCAAAGGCCAAAACUGUCUGGACAAUGCUUGUUUUAUCCAUUCUGGAAUUUUCUGUUGAUGCCAUCUACAGGACAAUGACCCCAGAUGUUGGCUGUCCAUCUCCUAAUGGAAUGAUGACCUACACAACCUCACCAAAUCCUUCUUUUAAACUCAUGGGUAUCAAGACUAUAAAUGUUUCAUGCUAUCACAACUAGGACCUCACCUCCUCCUCCUCUUCCUCUGUAAAUGGGUACGAUGCAUCCAGUUCAGUUUGUUUACUUUACACAAACCUCAGGAGUUGUUGACUGAGCUGCACAUCCUGUGUUGUGCCAAGCAGAAGCACUGUGACACCUGGACAAGUCUCUCUUCAUCCUCUACCAUAAAGACUUAGCUGGCCACAUGAACUGAUGUGCCCACCACUACAUCAUGGUGAGAAUGGGUAUUUUACUAGCACAUUUACACAACUUCAUUUGCUGCUGAAAACCUGUAUGACAAAUCAUCAUUGUAAAUUAUUACAUACAAAACUUAAUGUUGGUUGAAGAGUAUUAAAUAUUUAACAUAGGUUUUGAUUUAUACAUGUACUUUUUUAAUUAAAAUGUAACUUUUCCUACAGCACAUCUUUUUUGAUGUGGAACUGAGGUAUACUAUAUUCUGUUGUAAACAGAGUGGGGAACCUGCUUAAAACAAGGCUUCUAAGAAUAGAGUAGGGUACUAUUCUUGUUUUAAGAUUGUAAUUCAGAAAAUAAUAUAAUACGAGUCAUUGGUCCCUGGGCCUUGAUUGUACAGUCAUAUUUACUGAUACUAUCAGUUGUAAGAUAACCCCGAUGUUGAGCUGAAUUCUUUCCAAAAGAAAAAUAAUUUUGUACUCCUUGUAAAAUAAUAGUCUGUAUUAACUGCAAUGAAGACAAACUUUACUGUACAUGGGUAUUUACAAGUGUCAACUUGAAUUCAUCAAUUGCACAGGAACUGACAAAAAAAAAUCAGAAAAAAGAAAUCAAAGUCUUCCAUUGUAUAUAUUGUAAAGAAGAAAAGCAAACAAAAAAAAAUCAACCACCAGGAAACCACAAAGCAAAAUGGAAACAAAAAAAAAGGGUGAACUUUUUAAAUUGACUCUUUCCCUGGAAUGAAAAUGUGGGUGUUUGUAAAUUCUGGAAAUCUCUUUCUAUAUGUAAUAAACUAGAUACUGUUUUAUCUGC